CGCUGUGGAACUAUACUGCAGUACAGCCAAACACUGUAAUAUAUACCGGUCUCUGCAUACGUCAUCUUUUAAUAUCCAUCCGCACUCGAAAAUAGUCCCCACUGCUUCGAACCGCAGUAUAUCAAUGCGGCGGAGUGAUAUCUCCCUACCCAACGGCUCUGGCUCUAGAAUUUGCUAGAACACGGUAGCAACAGAAACCGUCCCCGAGCUUCUGAUUGGACCGAGUGAUUGUUUGUUUGGCCAGCGAUUGGUUGCCGUGUUACAAAUAUCAUACCCACUGUCAUACCAGGAAGUCACGAAGCCUGUAAAUGACUGUGCAUUUGUGUGACACGCCAGAGGCACAUGUGCAGACAGUUAUUCUGUUGAUCUCCAUCAAACGUGCCUGUUAACAGAUGGAAACGUGUUUGGUAAACGUGUCCCACCAGCUGCUGUGACAGCAGGGUGAGGUCUUUGAGGUAAAGAAGAAGACAGCAUUGCAAACUGACCUCCUUUACCCUCCUUGUUUCAUUUCAUUUUCACUUGCAAUCAGAUUUCACAUCACACAGACCAUCUAAAUAAAGAAGACAUGCUUGU